rnacentral:ncRNA from 1 species
UCUUAUUAAGAGUGAGUAGAGGGACUUGGCCCUAUGAAACUCCGGCAACAGCUAUUUGCGAUGUGCCAAUUCCAACAGUUUUACUGAAAGAUAAGA